rnacentral:rRNA from 1 species
UACCAGCUCUCCGAGUGGUAGGGAUGAUUAUUGGGCUUAAAGCGUCCGUAGCCGGCUUAGCAAGUCUCCUGUUAAAUUCAGCGACCUAAUCGUUGAGCCGCGGGAGAUACUAUUAGGCUAGGAGGCGGGAGAGGUCGACGGUACUUCUGGGGUAGGGGUGAAAUCCUAUAAUCCUUGGAGGACCACCAGUGGCGAAGGCGGUCGACUAGAACGUGCCUGACGGUGAGGGACGAAAGCUGGGGGAGCGAACCGGAUUAGAUACCCGGGUAGUCCCAGCUGUAAACGAUGCGAGCUAGGUGUUGGGGUGGCUACGUGCCACUUCAGUGCCGCAGGGAAGCCAUUAAGCUCGCCGCCUGGGGAGUACGGCCGCAAGGCUGAAACUUAAAGGAAUUGGCGGGGGAGCACCACAAGGCGUGAAGCUUGCGGUUC